UAUUUAAGUAUACCUUCCCUAAGAAACCAGAGGCCUUUCUCCUGGGUAUAGUCGGCCAAAUGGUGUUUAAAAAGGAUAGAACUUUCUUUAUGUAUGCAACAACAGCAGCAAGAAUACUCAUCGCAAAGUAUUGGAAGACACAAGAACUUCCCACGCUGGAGGAAUGGCAGAUGAAACUUAUGGACUAUAUGGAACUGGCUGAAAUGACUGGUAGAAUCCGUGACCAGGGAGAAGAGUCGAUGGAGGAAGACUGGAAGAAAUUCAAAGACUAUCUUCAGAAACACUGCAAAAUUAAGGAAUGUUAGAGUGAUGUUGGACUGAAAACAAGUGGUUUCCAGCUGCACAGGUUAAAGUUAUGGAAAUUUGAUAUUAAAAGGGAAAACUUUAAAGUUAUAUGAUAUUAAGACUAAGGACUAGGUUUAAAAAAAUUGAAGUUAUAUAUUUUAACAUUUUACUAAAUUAAAGAUUGGGAUUAAAAAAAGUGGAAAAGAAACUGCUGAACAAACAAUGUGGACUGGAAUACAAAGGAGGGAGGUUUGAGGAAGUCUAGAAAAUAAGUCACGUAAAAUUGGAAAUGGAAAAGAGAGUUUGUUUUUAAUUGUUGUGUUUUGUGUUUUUAUUGUUAAGUUUUGUAUUAUUUUUAUGUGAGUUUUUCUGUUUUUUUUGUUUUAUGUUGUUUUAAACUUUAAUAAAAAUUAUU
rnacentral:lncRNA from 1 species